UAAGCGUGCGCAGGCGGUUAUGCAAGACAGAUGUGAAAUCCCCGGGCUCAACCUGGGAACUGCAUUUGUGACUGCAUGGCUAGAGUACGGUAGAGGGGGAUGGAAUUCCGCGUGUAGCAGUGAAAUGCGUAGAUAUGCGGAGGAACACCGAUGGCGAAGGCAAUCCCCUGGACCUGUACUGACGCUCAUGCACGAAAGCGUGGGGAGCAAACAGGAUUAGAUACCCUAGU
rnacentral:rRNA from 1 species